CACCAUGACGACAUUCUCUCUUUCCUCUCUCUGCGACUGUUUGCCCACCUCUUCGACUUCCUCUCUCUCUUCUCUCUGUCCACUGACCAGACCGGUGCCUUGACGUGCGAAUUGAGCGAGGAAUCCAACCCACCGGUCCACCCUCGGCAGCAGAAAAGUGGUUGGCUAAAGCACCAAUCUUUCCGAGAUUUUUGUCCUUCCUAACCUCGCAGAGUUGGAUUCUCCGUCCAUGGCUCUCGCCGGCGUCCGCAGGCACGUCGGCCAAUUCUUAACCAUCAGCAAUGAGCUUAUGGCGGCGUCGCUGUCUGCGGCGAGCUGCCCCGACGAGGUAGAGAAGGCGGAGCGGGCUGGAUGCCGAGACGACUCGGCGGCGCUGAGGCUGAAAGAGAUGGCCAUGGCGGCGAUCCUGGUGGCCGGGGUGCUUGGGGUGGGCCUCCCGCUAGCGGGGCGGAAGCGGCGCGCCCUGCGGACGGACAGCGCCGCGUUCAUGGCGGCCAAGGCGUUCGCCGCCGGGGUCAUCCUGGCCACGGGAUUCGUCCACAUGCUCCACGACGCCGAGCGCGCGCUCACGAACCCCUGCCUCCCCGCCGCGCCGUGGCGCCGGUUCCCGUUCCCUGGGUUCGUCGCCAUGAUCGCCGCGCUCGCCACGCUGGUUCUCGACUUCUUGGCCACCAGAUUCUAUGAAAUCAAGCAUCGUGCUGAGGCCGCCCGCGUCAAGGCCGCCGCCGCCACCGCGCUCGCUGCCUCAUCUGCGAGCGACGAGGACAUCACCGUGGUCACCGUCACUGAGGACGAACACAAGGCCCCGCUCUUGCAAACGCAGUGCCACGGACAUAGCCACGGCCACAACCGCAACCAUGUGCACGAGCUAGUGCAAGUAGAGGGUAGCGAGGGGGAGGUGUCGGCGCACGUGCGGUCUGUCGUUGUGUCACAGAUACUGGAGAUGGGGAUCGUGUCGCACUCCGUGAUUAUCGGGUUGUCAUUGGGAGUGUCGCGGAGCCCAUGCACAAUCAGGCCGCUUGUCGCAGCUCUUGCAUUCCACCAGUUCUUCGAGGGUUUUGCACUUGGCGGGAGCAUUGCUCAGGCACAAUUCAAGACCGUUUCGGCAGUUCUAAUGGCAUCCUUCUUUGCCAUUACAACACCGGCGGGGAUAGCUGCUGGGGCAGGAUUGGCCUCAUUCUACAAUCCGAAUAGCCCGAGAGCUCUUGUGGUGGAGGGCAUUCUUGACUCAGUAUCAGCUGGCAUCCUCAUAUACAUGUCGCUAGUGGAUCUCAUUGCUGCCGAUUUCUUGGGUGGAAAGAUAGCAGGAUCCCUGCGGCAGCAAUUGAUGGCAUACAUCGCCCUGUUCCUUGGUGCUCUCUCCAUGUCAUCACUUGCAAUAUGGGCUUGAACCCACCUUCGAUGAGGUGAAGAUAAAGGAGCGACAUUGUUCCGGGAAAACAUACGAGGUUACUGAUAACCUCCAUGCAGUCCGAUGCAACCAGGACAUUGCGCUCCUGACGUCCAGAGCCAAUGGCAAAGCUUCACUGCAAAGCUGUUGCCUCCAAGGCUCCAACUCUGGAGGAUCUGUCAGACCAUCCACUACAACAGCAGAGUCCGCCAAAAAGUUACCAUUGGCAUCCCACCCUGAUCACCUCACAGUGGCCGAGCCAGCAAGCAACUCAGGGACUCAUCUCCUUCCUUCUCCAGCCCCCAUCUUCUUCUUCCUCCUCUUCUCCAUUUCAUCUCCCUCCUCUUCUCCUUCUUGGCUCCGUGGCACAGCGGGCAGCUCCAGCCCCCUGCUGCACCGUUGAAUCAGCCCCUGACUGCGCUGAUGGCACCUCUUGUAAUACCGAAUUUUUGGAGAAAAAAUAAAAAGAGAUUUGACUAAAAAUUUUACUUUUUGAUCCGUUGCUUGUAUGGACGAUCGGAGACCGCGGUUGCGUUCAUCUUGUCGAGACGAACCCAUUUUGCUAUUCAUAUAUCCGUUCCGGGCAUUUUGUGACCCGUAGAAAGCCCAAUAAUUUUAGACCGUUCGUUGUUUAAAAAAAAAAAAAGAAAUAAAGGAUAAGUAUCUGCCGAUCCAUCAGACUUUUCAGCACUCGUGCUUCGCGUUUCUCUCUCUCGCGCGCGUCUCUCUCUCUGUCGGCGCCGAGCUUCCACGGUGCGUGUUCUGCGCUGGGCUGCUCGCCGGCCGACCUGCUUGCUCCGGCCGUCGCGCCCCUGCUGUCGCCGUCG